rnacentral:lncRNA from 1 species
ACGAUUAACAGGAUGAACGGUCCAGGUCUACUUCUAUUUAAACAUGAUCGAACGGUUGAGAUCAAAUCGCGAUGGACGGUCCAGAUUCACUCCUUAUUUAAUCGCGAUCAGACGGUUUAGAUUAAAUGCGAUAGACGGUUCAGAUUAAAAAAGGAUGGAUAUAAAUAAACCUUUCACACCAAACCCUAAAUAGUCGCCAGACACUCCCGCUGGAGAAGAAGAGCCAGCUGCCGGGAAGGAAGUCGCCCACCGCCGUGCUGAAACCACUUCCGACCGUCAAAAGAUGUAAAAAAAAUUUUCUUUGCUCGAAAUUCGAUUUUAAACACCCCCAUGACCAAAUUGGAGCAAAAGGACCAGCAGAUUGGCCAAAAACUGUGGGCGAAACCUGGCGUCGCAGACGCGAGAAAUUACAAAAAUUACCUCCGAUGAGGCCCUUCCCGAUUCUCGUUUUACGUAAUUCUUCUACCAUUGUAAUCACCAUUUCCUCUUCUAUAUGUUGACCGAAGCAAAACACCUAACCACGAAGGUAAGCCGGCAGAGCUGCUGCAUCGGAGAACCCCACCGCUAGUAAGUUUCAGUUUUUUAACUUUUUUCGACCAACCGAGGCCUGUUAAUG